UGGGUUCUUUCUUCACACGGAUAGACCGACGUCCGACUCCCGUGAGUGUCCCGCUGGGCGUGGUGCGCCAUGACCCCCGCCGUGCUUCCCCUCGCCCCCUCGCCUCCUUAUCCAAAGCCACCACGGCUAUGCCACAAACCCACCCCCGCGCGCCCGCUCUACCGGUGCGACGCCACACGCCGCGACUUCGCUGUCUACACCGCCUCCGCUGCCGCAGCCGCAAUGAGCCCCGCCGCCGCUACUGCGGCAGAUGAGGGGCUCCCUUCGGCGUCACAGUCACCGACGCUUCACCCUCCAAACGGCGGGGCUACCUCGUUGUUGGUCGGCAUCGCAAACACGAGGUCGUGGUGGCAGUACUACGGCAGCGGCUUCUCCAUCCGCGUGCCGCCGUCCUUCGACGACAUCUUGGAGCCCGAGGAUUUCAGCGCCGCCAUGACCUAUUAUGGCGACAAGGCCAAGGUCAGGGCGUACGCAGCUCGGUUCGCAUCUCCAGAUAGGUCAGAACUUGUAAGCGUGGUAAUCAAGCCAUCUAAUCAGCUCAAGAUCACAUUCCUAGAGGCCAAAGAUAUAACGGAGUUGGGCACUCUAAAGGAGGCGUCCAAGUUAUUUGUACCUGGCGGUGCAAAAAUAUACUCAGCUCGAACAAUUAAAGUUAAGGAUCAGGAGGGUAUCAGGACGUAUUACUUCUACGAAUUUCGUUUUGACAGACAACAUGUUGCUCUAAUGGCCACCGUGGAUAGUGGGAAGGUACUGGCUUGUCACAUUUUAUUUACAUUUUUGGAAGAAAUAAAGACAAAUGAUAUUUUCUUUUCUUUUGCUUUUCAUCAUGUAUUUUGUGCGAAAAUUCGUUUCUGAGCCCGGGCUCAAGUGCACCUGAUAUCUUGGCCAUCCAGUCACAUGUGGAUUCCCGCUACAUAUAUCGCUGCCGCCACUGCUCCAGAGACGAGGUGGGAGACGGAUGGAGUGACAUUGCGUUCGGCUGCUGUAUCUAUGUCUCUCGUGUGAUCUACACUAGUGUCAAAAAUACUCUUAUAUUAUGGGACAGAGGAAGUACUAUUUAUAUAUUAUAGAACUACGGUAUUAAAACA